GACGAACGCUGGCGGCGUGCUUAACACAUGCAAGUCGAACGGAGUGGCGAACGGGUGAGUAACACGUGGGUGACCUGCCCUGCACUUCGGGAUAAGCAUGGGAAACUGGGUCUAAUACCGGAUAGUGUGGGAUGGGUCCGGGGCCUAUCAGCUUGUGGGUGGGGUAAUGGCCUACCACGGCGGGGACGGGUGGCCGGCCUGAGCGGGUGGACGGCCACAGUGGGGCUGAGACGCGGCCCAGACGCCUACGGGGGGCAGCAGUGGGGAACAUUGCACAAUAGGCGGAAGCCUGAUGCAGGGACGCCGCGUGGGGGAGGACGGCCUUCUGGUUGUAAACGCCUUUCACCAUCGACGCGGUAGAUGGAGAAGAAGCACCGGCUAACUACGUGCCAGCCGCCGCGGUAAUUC
rnacentral:rRNA from 1 species